UAGUUCAGACCGUAAACGAUGCCAUCUGGCGAUCCAUGGGUGUUAUGUAUGACUCCAUGGGCAGCCACCGGGAAACCUUUAAGUUGGGUUCCGGGGGAAGUAUGGUUGCAAAGCUGAAACUUAAAGGAAUUGACGGAAGGGCACCACCAGGAGUGGAGCCUGCGGCUUAAUUUGACUCAACACGGGAAAACUCACCCGGCCCGGACACUGUAAGGAUUGACAGAUUGAUAGCUCUUUCUUGAUUCGGUGGGUGGUGGUGCAUGGCCGUUCUUAGUUGGUGGAGCGAUUUGUCUGGUUUAUUCCGAUAACGAACGAGACUCUAGCCUACUAAAUAGAUGACGCUUUCUUAGAGCGUUACGCUUCUUAGAGGGACAAGCGACGUCUAGUCGCACGAGAUUGAGCAAUAACAGGUCUGUGAUGCCCUUAGAUGUUCGGGGCUGCACGCGCGCUACACUGAAGGCAUCAACAUGCAUACCAACCUACCUCGGAAGAGGCGGGUAAACCGUUGAAACGCCUUCGUGAUUGGGAUUGUGAAUUGCAAUUAUUUCACAUGAACGAGGAAUUCCUAGUAAGUCCGAGUCAUCAGCUCGGGCUGACUCGGUCCCUGCCCUUUGUACACACCGCCCGUCGCUACUACCGAUUGAGUGACUCCUAAAGGAGUUCGGACCGAGCGCUGUGCGUUCGCAAGUUCGCGCAAGUCGCUUGGAAAGUUCUCCAAUGGGAUUUACUUAGAGGAAGUAAAAGUCGUAACAAGGUUUCCGUAGGUGAACCUGCGGAAGGAUCAUUACCGAUCCGUCUCGACGGCUCAUGUCGAGUUAUCAGGGCGAAGACUGAACUGAUGUGGGGUAGUCGCCACCGCGCAAGUCCCCGUUCGGUCCUAGCUGGCAGGCCAUAUUCAUAAGCGAUAGCACGGCGUGCAGCAGGUAGGGCUGCCAAGAUGUGCCUGCUACGUUUAAGUCUAUGGUCUCGGGUAAGGUGAUACACUACCCUGGUUUGUCGUAGUUGUUCCUUCUGUGUGGCUCUACGCGUCGAUCAUAUACGCGUUUGAAUGGGCUCAGAAGGUCCCUUUAUGAGUGGCUUUGCGUGUCGCUUCUACACGCUUGCGUAAGCCCAUGAAGGCAGACGGCAGCUACUGCAAGCUUGCUGGUAGUUUGUUGGGUACCUACGUCGACUGUGUGGUCUUACAGUUACACCUGCUGUUUGCAUAGACCCAGUCGACACACCGUCGGUCGGACCGGACAGUGGCCGACGGAAGGUUUAAAGAGCCAUCUGCGAUCAGCUUUGCUGUUCGAGUCUAUGUCCAUGAGGUCCUCAUGGAGUAGACCUACCCUUGCGCCCGCUUCUGGCGUACAGGUGGUCGCCCGACUCCCCUUUUAACUACUUAAUAAUUACUGUCGUUGCUUAACGGCUCGAUAGACAAACGUACAAUUCUAAGCGGUGGAUCACUAGGCUCGCAGGUCGAUGAAGAACGCAGCUAGCUGCGUGAAGUAAUGUGAAUUGCAGACACAUUGAACAUCGACAUUUCGAACGCAUAUUGCGGAAGUGGGUUUUUCCCGCUUCCAGGUUCUCUUGACGGCGUCAUUCAGUGAAAGCAUAUAUCCUUGCUCGUUGACCCUGCUUAUAGU
rnacentral:rRNA from 1 species